CACAGGGCUAACACCCUGUGCUGAUAUAUAUCGCCCUUUCAGGGCU
rnacentral:sRNA from 1 species